UGAUUGAUGGUGCUUGCACCUGAUUGAUUUUGGUCGCCAACGAGUGGCGGACGGGUGAGUAACACGUAGGUAACCUGCCCAGAAGCGGGGGACAACAUUUGGAAACAGAUGCUAAUACCGCAUAACAACGUUGUUCGCAUGAACAACGCUUAAAAGAUGGCUUCUCGCUAUCACUUCUGGAUGGACCUGCGGUGCAUUAGCUUGUUGGUGGGGUAAUGGCCUACCAAGGCGAUGAUGCAUAGCCGAGUUGAGAGACUGAUCGGCCACAAUGGGACUGAGACACGGCCCAUACUCCUACGGGAGGCAGCAGUAGGGAAUCUUCCACAAUGGGCGCAAGCCUGAUGGAGCAACACCGCGUGAGUGAAGAAGGGUUUCGGCUCGUAAAGCUCUGUUGUUAAAGAAGAACACGUAUGAGAGUAACUGUUCAUACGUUGACGGUAUUUAACCAGAAAGUCACGGCUAACUACGUGCCAGCAGCCGCGGUAAUACGUAGGUGGCAAGCGUUAUCCGGAUUUAUUGGGCGUAAAGAGAGUGCAGGCGGUUUUCUAAGUCUGAUGUGAAAGCCUUCGGCUUAACCGGAGAAGUGCAUCGGAAACUGGAUAACUUGAGUGCAGAAGAGGGUAGUGGAACUCCAUGUGUAGCGGUGGAAUGCGUAGAUAUAUGGAAGAACACCAGUGGCGAAGGCGGCUACCUGGUCUGCAACUGACGCUGAGACUCGAAAGCAUGGGUAGCGAACAGGAUUAGAUACCCUGGUAGUCCAUGCCGUAAACGAUGAGUGCUAGGUGUUGGAGGGUUUCCGCCCUUCAGUGCCGGAGCUAACGCAUUAAGCACUCCGCCUGG
rnacentral:rRNA from 1 species